ACUGCGAGUGAAGCGGGAAAAGCUCAAAUUUAAAAUCUGGCGGUCUUUGGCUGUCCGAGUUGUAAUCUAGAGAAGUGCUAUCCGCGCUGGACCGUGUACAAGUCUCCUGGAACGGAGCGUCAUAGAGGGUGAGAAUCCCGUCUUUGACACGGACUACCAGGGCUUUGUGAUGUGCUCUCAAAGAGUCGAGUUGUUUGGGAAUGCAGCUCUAAAUGGGUGGUAAAUUCCAUCUAAAGCUAAAUAUUGGCGAGAGACCGAUAGCGAACAAGUACCGUGAGGGAAAGAUGAAAAGAACUUUGGAAAGAGAGUUAAACAGUACGUGAAAUUGUUGAAAGGGAAACGCUUGAAGUCAGUCGCGUUGGCUGGGGAUCAACCUUGCUCUUUUGCUUGGUGUACUUUCCAGUUGACGGGUCAGCAUCAAUUUUGACCAGUGGACAAAGGUCAGGGGAAUGUGGCAUCUUCGGAUGUGUUAUAGCCCUUGGUUGCAUACAUUGGUUGGGAUUGAGGAACUCAGCACGCCGCAAGGCCGGGUCUUUGACCACGUACGUGCUUAGGAUGCUGGCAUAAUGGCUUUAAUCGACCCGUCUUGAAACACGGACCAAGGAGUCUAACAUGCCCGCGAGUGUUUGGGUGGAAAACCCGGACGCGUAAUGAAAGUGAAAGUUGAGAUCCCUGUCGUGGGGAGCAUCGACGCCCGGACCAGACCUUUUUGUGACGGUCUCUGCGGUAGAGCGUGUAUGUUGGGACCCGAAAGAUGGUGAACUAUGCCUGAAUAGCGGUGAAGCCAGAGGAAACUCUGUUGGAGGCUCGUAGCGAUUCUGACGUGAAAAUCGAAUCGCCUAAAUUGGGUUUAGGGGCGAAGAACUAUCGAACCAUCAAUUAGCCUGGUUCCUGCCGAAAUUUCCCUCACUUUACCAAAAACUCAAUUCAGAUUUAUGU
rnacentral:rRNA from 1 species